AUGGGUAAGCAAUUAAUCAUAAAAUAAGAAACGGUGUUUUAGGAAAGUUAAGUGGUACACGAAAACCAAGAAGGUUUGAGAGAUUAAGAGAGAAGGGGGAGUUGGAUUUGGUGAGGAGAUAAACAAGGAGAGGGAAGGCUAUAAGGAUGGAUAAGAAUAGGACUGAGUCGAAGAAGGCACGCCGUGAGGGUCUGCUUUCCUACUCUUUAUGGCGGCCAUGAGUGAUGUUGAGGAGAGAGAAUGGUGUGUGUUUGUGGGUUUUUGACAUGGGGAGUUGAGAAUUGAAAGCAGUGAAAGGAGAGAGAGAGAUUCGUAACAUCAGAUACUUCUUUGAUUUCGGACC
rnacentral:lncRNA from 1 species